GCUUCAAAUUGGAUGGCACUGCAGCUGGAGGCUUUGUUCAGAAUUGAUCCUGGGGAGCUACGAACCCAAAGUUUCACAGUAGGAAGGGGGAAAAAAGAAAAGAAAACAUUUUUCCUAAUGUAACAAUGCGAAUGCUAGAAAAUGACAAGACUGAUCGGUUUUAAACCAUUCUGAAGACUGACUGAGCGUGGAAGUUGCUCAACAAAAAAAGGAACGGGUAUAUUGACAGAGUCUUGCUCUAUUGCCCAGGCUGCAACUGGCGUGAUCUUGGCUCACUACAACCUCUGCCUCCUGGGUUCAAGUGAUUCUCCUGCCUCAACCUCCCAAGUAGCUGGGAUUACAAGCAUGCACCACCAUGCCUGGCUAAUUUUUGUAUUUUUAGUGGAGACGGGGCUUCGCCACGUUGGCCAGGGUGGUCUUGAACUCCUGACCUCAAGUGAUCCACCUGCCUUGGCCUUCCAAAGUGCUGGGAUUAUAAGCAUGAGCCACCGCACCCAGCCUUAUACUGAACUUUCAAUGGGUUCAAUUCCACUAGGAGCAUAAAGUCCACUGCAUAUGAGUUGUGGAAAGAAGAGAUUAGAGGAAGAAGGAAGAACUUGAGAUGAGUUCUUCCCUUCAACAUUCUGUCUCCUCCUACCUAGCAUCUUCUUUCUUUUAGUCUUUCUAGAAUGUCCAUCUGUUUUUGGCCAUUGCAGAAAGAGAAGCUGAGCUUUAAAGGCGUAGGAGCUUCAAAAUUCUUGUUUCUUCAUGUUUGAUCACCCUUCUAAACCUGUCUUCUGUUCCUUCUGCUAUUCUUUUUUCUUAGAGCAUAGGAAAGGGGAGCUUUUAAAUUAAUACUUAAAGCAUGGAAAAAAAGAACUUCAGAAGAAAGUAAAACAAGGGAGAUGAGGCUAGUAAAGUAAGGAAAAUGGAGAAGAGGAAGAGGGGGAAGGGUUAGCUUCUAAAUUCCAAGUCAAAUUGAUACGGAACAGGCAAGCCUCUUGUCUUACUUAAACUUCAGAGAAGGAUCUGCUGAAACUUGAUAGAAAUGGAAGGGAAAUCCUUGGAGUGGGGAACCUCCAAAUGUUAGUAAUGAUAUUGAACAACUCAAAGUAUUGAGGAAAUCUGCAGGCUACAUGCCUGAAGAUCACCCAUGCAGAUAGACCAAAAGGAUUAGAAUUAUCUGUUGAUAUUAGUAAUAUUUAUUGACAUCUAGCUAGUAUUGGUAAUUUUAAGUUUUAGAUUAAUUUCUUUGGUAAUAGCUAUGAUAUAUUUUAUAGACAAGAAUUAUAUCUAUAGGCUUGCUAUCAUAGGCUCUUUUAAGUAGCAUUAAUUUAGUCUACUUAUUUUUAGCACAU
rnacentral:antisense_RNA from 1 species